rnacentral:rRNA from 1 species
UACGUAAAAGGCAAGCGUUGUCCGGAAUCAUUGGGCGUAAAGAGCGUGUAGGCGGCUGGGUAGGUCCGCUGUGAAAACUCGAGGCUCAACCUCGAGACGCCGGUGGAAACCGUAAAGCUAGAGUCCGGAAGAGGAGAGUGGAAUUCCUGGUGUAGCGGUGAAAUGCGCAGAUAUCAGGAAGAACACCAACGGCGAAGGCAGCUCGCUGGGACGGUACUGACGCUGAGACGCGAAAGCGUGGGGAGCGAACAGG